rfam:Duganella sp. Leaf126 contig_2, whole genome shotgun sequence.
CGCGUUUUUCGCCCAGGCGGAGCUCGACCGUCGCUUCAAGUCGUGAGAACGUUCAUCGACCAGCACCGCCAAGCGUAUGGGGUCGAGUCGAUUUGCAAAGUCUUGCAGAUCGCCCCG